CUUGCCUCAGGAUUCACCCUUUAUAAUUAUCAUCUUAUUACAUGCUAGGCCUACAUUUAAAUGUCUUCUGGGUACCAGAAACAUUUCUAGGAGCUGUACAUGAAUGAACAAGACAAACAAGAUCCCUGUUGAUAUGGAUCUUACAUUUCAGGCAUUGAAGCAGG